rnacentral:lncRNA from 1 species
GCUUUUUUCAUCGCAAAGGAUAAAUCUAUCGAAUGAGGUUUAACACUUGUUAGCGUUUGCACGAGUACUAGCAACGUCAUUAUUUUUUAAUAGGCGUAACUCAAAGAGGCAAAGAACGAAAUAUUACGGUCACAAAUAUUAC